CCCAAGAUAUUUUGUCUUCAUUUUUAUCACUCCGUUGAAAGCAAUAUCAAAGGUCGUCGCCGCCGAAGUGCUGAACCUCCUCAUCCAACCACCGUAUAAUCUUUCAACCAUCGUUCCCGAUAUGUCCUGUUAGAUCCCGCACCCGGUAUAUUAUCAAAUGGUUUUCUACUCUCAGGCGAAACGUUACGGAAGUCGGAUGCAUUCAAACGUCGGCUUUAAUGCGUUCAUUAACAACAUCCUCCAUUCCUCCCAUUAUUUGUCAUUCAAUGCAUCCCCAUUACUGCUAUUGUGUGAAUUUUCAACUAUAAAUAGAGGGUCAAUAACAUCAUGGGUUCUUUUCUUUUUCUCUUAAAGAUAAUGCUUCGAUCAUUUAUCCAACUGAGAUAAUUAAAGCAGCCCAACCGGUAAUCAAGAAUUGCUUUUUUUUGAAAGGAUAUUGUUAUAGUUUGUUUCUUUUGUAUGUCUCUCCAUCUGAUUUUUCCUGCUCAUGUUACAGUCGUUGGCUAAAGCCAAGUCUUUCAAAAAGGUAAGCGAGAAUGGUGUUGUACAUCUGAGUUUGUUUGCCUUUAAAACAUAUAGCUAUUAUGGUUAACCUGUAAUCUCUUCUCAUGUUUCAUAAGCCGUAUAAGCUGAAUGAGAAAAGAGUUGGAGGGUACAAUGCAGGUCACACAAGAGAUUUUGCUAAUGCAUCCAAAAAUUGUUGAUCCUAAAAGGAGAUUUUGUUGUGCUUGAUCUGUAUAUAAUGAUUUCUCAUGCUUCACAUCUGUAGGGCUGGUGGCUAAGGUGGAAAAACUUGAAAAGGAACUUCAAAAAGCCAAACGGCUUGAACCGUGGAGACGAGUUGUGAAAGCUAGAAGGAUGAACCAAAGCUAUGUAAUCAAAUGCUUUCAGUAAUAAUAUUUUAAUAAAGGAGCUGGCACAAAGAUGAAUCCCGUAUACCUUUUAUUUUGAAUCAUGUAUAUAAGAUCUCUUUAUUGUGUAGACAUUAUUGAACUUGCGUACAUAAAACUUUCAAUUUGUAACCGACUAUAAAUGUUUGAAAACAAACAGAACUAUUUAUA